GACGAACGCUGGCGGCGUGCUUAACACAUGCAAGUCGAACGGUGAAGGUGGAGCUUGCUCCGCCGGAUCAGUGGCGAACGGGAGAGUAACACGUGGGCAACCUGCCCCUCACUUCGGGAUAACUCCGGGAAACCGGGGCUAAUACCGGAUACGACCUCCUUGGGCAUCCUUGGUGGGGGAAAGUUUUUCGGUGAGGGAUGGGCCCGCGGCCUAUCAGCGUGUUGGUGAGGUAGUGGCUCACCAAGGCGACGACGGGUAGCCGGCCUGAGAGGGCGACCGGCCACACUGGGACUGAGACACGGCCCAGACUCCUACGGGAGGCAGCAGUGGGGAAUAUUGCGCAAUGGGCGAAAGCCUGACGCAGCAACGCCGCGUGCGGGAUGAAGGCCUUCGGGUUGUAAACCGCUUUCAGCAGGGAAGAAGCCGCAAGGUGACGGUACCUGCAGAAGAAGCACCGGCUAACUACGUGCCAGCCGCCGCCGUAA
rnacentral:rRNA from 1 species